AUGGUAGUCGAGUCCGGGAGAAAUGGGCACGAGUUGGCUCCCUUGAACAACCAUCGCCAACCUGUCCACAACGUGACGAUCGUGGCGACCGGAAGUCAACAUGUUGCCGCCCCCCAGGAGACUAAGGAGGAGAACAGGGCGGCAUGGAGCGGAAAAAUGCAAUUCUUCCUCAGUAUUAUCGGGUACAGCGUCGGUCUGGGCAAUAUAUGGAGGUUUCCUUAUCUGUGCCAACAGAACGGAGGUGGUGCCUUCCUUAUUCCUUUUUUCGUGAUGCUCAUCCUGGAGGGUGUACCCCUUUUCCUGAUCGAGCUGGGUGCCGGGCAACGUAUGCGGCAGGGCGCCCUGGGCGUUUGGAACACAAUACACCCUUGGCUAGGCGGUAUAGGGAUCGCGUCGUGUAUAGUGACGUUUUUCGUUUGUCUUUACUACAACGUAAUUAUUACCUGGUGCGUCUACUACCUCAUCAACUCGCUUGAGGCUGUCACGAUCAAAUUUGGUGAAUCACUGCCGUGGGCAAAAUGCCCGGAAUUGGAUGGAAAGCCGGUCGAGGAAUGUGUCAGGAGUUCGGAGACCGCAUAUUUUUGGUAUAGGACUACUUUGGAUGCGGCACCGUCCAUUGAGGAUGGACAAGGUCUCAAAUGGUGGAUCGUACUUUGUCUCUUGUUCAGCUGGAUCAUUGUGUUUUUCAUCGUCAUGAAGGGAAUACAGUCGUCCGGUAAAGUGGUAUACUUUACAUCCAUGUUUCCGUAUCUCGUGCUGACCAUCUUCUUCAUUCGCGGGAUAACGUUGCGAGGUGCGAGCGCCGGGCUGGCGCAUAUGUACACGCCAAAGGUCGAGAAAUUGGCUGAGCCCAUGGUCUGGCUUGACGCAGCGACCCAGGUCUUCUAUAGCUUCGGGCUGGCGUUCGGCUCCCUGAUCGCGUUCGGCAGCUACAACACUCCUGACAACAACUGCGUGAGGGACGUGAUCCUGGUGAGCGUGUGCAACGCGUUUACUGCCAUUUACGCGAGCGUUGUCAUUUUCGCCAUUUUGGGGUUCAAGGCAAUGUCAAACGUGGACAAGUGCGUCGUCAGUGCGAGGGACACCUUGAUGCAAAAUGGGCUGUUGACUAAUUCGACCCCGUUCAAUCUCGAGGACUAUGAACUUUUUAUGGACAAUUUCAACUCCUCGGCGUGGAACUUCACAAUAGAACCAUGCAGCCUCAGCAAGGAAUUGGACAACGCCGCCGAGGGUACCGGACUAGCUUUCAUCAUAUUCACGCAAGCGAUCGUGGAACUACCGGGAGCGCCGUUUUGGUCUUGCAUUUUCUUCAUGAUGCUCCUAGCUCUCGGCUUGGGUUCGCAAAUCGGACUACUCGAGGGUAUGCUGUGCGUAAUCUUCGACAUAGAUCUUUUCAAGAGAAUAAAGAAGCAAUACAUGACAGGAGUCCUCUGCGUCGUUUGCUUUUUCGUGGGACUUCUCUUUUGUACUGGCGCUGGGGAGUAUUGGCUGAAGAUGUUCGACAGUUUCGCCGGCACCAUCGGCCUCGUUAUAGUCGCCCUGUUGGAAAUGAUCGCCGUGAUUUUCGUGUAUGGCCACGAAAAAUUCACGAAGGACAUCGAAGAGAUGACUGGACAUAAACCUGGACUUUAUUGGCAAAUCACGUGGCGAUUUAUCGCUCCCGCGAUAAUGGGUUGCAUCCUUGUGUUCAGCAUCGGUUCCAUGUUCAUUAAGAAACCGCAAUAUUCGGCGUGGAAUGCGGAAUUGGGUAAGGCUAUACCCACGGAUUAUCCUGGCUGGGUGUUGGGCAUCGCUGUCGUCAUUAUUUUGGCGGGUAUAGCUCCGAUUCCAAUCGUUUUCCUCUUACGUCGGUUCCAAUUGGUGAAACUCGACGUGGAUAUACAUCAAGGCAGUAUUCGACGUAUCGAUACCACCGUUUCUACUAAAGAGAUGAUGGGUGACGUUGACUUGUAGGUAAGCAUCCAUUCUGUCUGUGGUAACGUCGAUUACUCAAUAUCCCCGUAGCUACGUCACACCUUGACGAAUAUCAUGAUCGGCUCGAGGACUUCCCGGAAGAAGAUGAGGACAUUAACAGCGACGAUGAUACGAAUGCCGCACCGACUAUGAGUAGAAUGGCUAACAAAGCAAUGAAGGGUAGGGCCUUCAAAAUGGA
rnacentral:misc_RNA from 1 species